CCUACGGGAGGCAGCAGUCGAGAAUUUUUCACAAUGGACGAAAGUCUGAUGGAGCGACGCCGCGUGGAGGAUGAAGGUUUUCGGAUUGUAAACUCCUGUCACUGCAGAACAAGGCUAUGCUCGUUAACAGCGAAUGUAGUUGAUGGUAUGCGGAGAGGAAGGGACGGCUAACUCUGUGCCAGCAGCCGCGGUAAU
rnacentral:rRNA from 1 species